rnacentral:rRNA from 1 species
UACGUAGGGGGCAAGCGUUGUCCGGAAUCAUUGGGCGUAAAGCGCGCGUAGGCGGCCCGGUAAGUCCGCUGUAAAAGUCCAGGGCUCAACCCUGGAAAGCCGGUGGAUACUGUCGGGCUAGAGUCCGGAAGAGGUGAGUGGAACUCCUAGUGUAGAGGUGAAAUUCGUAGAUAUUAGGAAGAACACCAGUGGCGAAGGCGGCUCACUGGUCCGGUACUGACGCUGAGGUGCGAAAGCGUGGGGAGCAAACAGG